rnacentral:rRNA from 1 species
AAAUUGAAGAGUUUGAUCAUGGCUCAGAUUGAACGCUGGCGGCAGGCCUAACACAUGCAAGUCGAACGGUAACAGAAAGCAGCUUGCUGCUUUGCUGACGAGUGGCGGACGGGUGAGUAAUGUCUGGGAAACUGCCUGAUGGAGGGGGAUAACUACUGGAAACGGUAGCUAAUACCGCAUAACGUCGCAAGACCAAAGAGGGGGACCUUCGGGCCUCUUGCCAUCGGAUGUGCCCAGAUGGGAUUAGCUUGUUGGUGGGGUAACGGCUCACCAAGGCGACGAUCCCUAGCUGGUCUGAGAGGAUGACCAGCCACACUGGAACUGAGACACGGUCCAGACUCCUACGGGAGGCAGCAGUGGGGAAUAUUGCACAAUGGGCGCAAGCCUGAUGCAGCCAUGCCGCGUGUAUGAAGAAGGCCUUCGGGUUGUAAAGUACUUUCAGCGGGGAGGAAGGGAGUAAAGUUAAUACCUUUGCUCAUUGACAUUACCCGCAGAAGAAGCACCGGCUAACUCCGUGCCAGCAGCCGCGGUAAUACGGAGGGUGCAAGCGUUAAUCGGAAUUACUGGGCGUAAAGCGCACGCAGGCGGUUUGUUAAGUCAGAUGUGAAAUCCCCGGGCUCAACCUGGGAACUGCAUCUGAUACUGGCAAGCUUGAGUCUCGUAGAGGGGGGUAGAAUUCCAGGUGUAGCGGUGAAAUGCGUAGAGAUCUGGAGGAAUACCGGUGGCGAAGGCGGCCCCCUGGACGAAGACUGACGCUCAGGUGCGAAAGCGUGGGGAGCAAACAGGAUUAGAUACCCUGGUAGUCCACGCCGUAAACGAUGUCGACUUGGAGGUUGUGCCCUUGAGGCGUGGCUUCCGGAGCUAACGCGUUAAGUCGACCGCCUGGGGAGUACGGCCGCAAGGUUAAAACUCAAAUGAAUUGACGGGGGCCCGCACAAGCGGUGGAGCAUGUGGUUUAAUUCGAUGCAACGCGAAGAACCUUACCUGGUCUUGACAUCCACAGAACCUUGUAGAGAUACGAGGGUGCCUUCGGGAACUGUGAGACAGGUGCUGCAUGGCUGUCGUCAGCUCGUGUUGUGAAAUGUUGGGUUAAGUCCCGCAACGAGCGCAACCCUUAUCCUUUGUUGCCAGCGGUCCGGCCGGGAACUCAAAGGAGACUGCCAGUGAUAAACUGGAGGAAGGUGGGGAUGACGUCAAGUCAUCAUGGCCCUUACGACCAGGGCUACACACGUGCUACAAUGGCGCAUACAAAGAGAAGCGACCUCGCGAGAGCAAGCGGACCUCAUAAAGUGCGUCGUAGUCCGGAUUGGAGUCUGCAACUCGACUCCAUGAAGUCGGAAUCGCUAGUAAUCGUGGAUCAGAAUGCCACGGUGAAUACGUUCCCGGGCCUUGUACACACCGCCCGUCACACCAUGGGAGUGGGUUGCAAAAGAAGUAGGUAGCUUAACCUUCGGGAGGGCGCUUACCACUUUGUGAUUCAUGACUGGGGUGAAGUCGUAACAAGGUAACCGUAGGGGAACCUGCGGUUGGAUCACCUCCUUACCUUAAAGAAGC